AAAGAAGUUCUGUAACAAUGGCACUUUAACUCCAUUGGCCAAAAAACACAUACAUAACCUGGAGGUCACAUAAUUUUUAUGGGAAGAUCAAUUAUCAAGUUUCUGAUUCUGAAGUUCAGAUCAAAAGUACAACUACUGAAAAGAAGUCAAGAGUCAAAUCUAUAAACCUAUACAUUUUUCAAACUAAAUUAAUCUUCCGCAAAUAUCUAUGCACACCAAAAGUGAGCCCUGAAAUAAACACGUAAACUCCCCAAGACGCCAGUUUGUAUAUCAAAUUCAACAUGGGCA
rnacentral:misc_RNA from 1 species